UCGGAUUCCAGCACCACAUUCGUGGAAAAAAUGACAAAAACGGACCCCUCAGAAUCAAUUUAAAUUAACAGGAUAGAUAGACCAGGACAUGCUUAUUACGAAAAUAAAUCACCUAGGCUUGGCACCCCCUAAGAACUGAGGAAUCUUAGGUCAAAGUUCAAGGUCAUUCUCGGCGGACCCUUUGGAUUCUCGUAAAAAUUGGUACAACUAUAGUCCAUGAAGAGCUGAUUUCAAAAAUAUCAGUUUCUUACUUUGGCAAGCAGCACGAACUGAUAUAUAGUAGGUCAAAGGUCAGAAUCAAGGUCACGUAUGUGUAAUACAGGAAGUGGAAGUGACCACGUGGCCAGAUGACCCUCAGUUGAGCUCUGUGCCGCCGAGGAGACCGUGCGCCGCGAGCUGCCGCCCGAGGACCGGCCGGCGCUGACCCGGCUGUCACCUCUAACUGACGGCGCGCUGUCGCUUCGUCCUCCGACCCUGCGCCGGCCGUGCCGGGAGGCCGAGCUGCUGACCCAGCUGCAGCAGCUGGCGGUGGCCCUGGACGGCGCCUGCCCCCUGGUGUUGGAUGGCAGCUGCGGGAGCCACGUGACGCCGUCUGCGCUUUUGGCGCCAGGAGAGCUUGACGCUGCUGCGAGCACUACAGGGCUACUAGCGGUCUCUGAAUGGAGCUGCGUUCCGGUGGGCGGCUGGCUGCGCUCUCUCGGUCUGGCCCAGUACGCCGACGCGUUCGUCGCCCGCUCUGUGGAUGGCGCCCGGCUUCUGGGGCUCACCGAACAGGCUAUGGAAGACGAGCCCGACAUCGGUCUCGACGUGGCGACCUCGAAGCCGGCGUGUUGGGUCUCGGCUUCCCGCCACUCACUGGCGGACCUUUCCGCUUCGUGGACCGCAUCGGUCCCGCACAGCUAGUCAAGGACAUGGAGCGCUUCGCCGUCGUCAGUGGCGUCGGCUUCGAGCCGUGCCUGACCGUGCACUACCAGGCCGCUAGCGGCACCAAGUUCUGUUCGGCCGGGCCUCGUGUAAUGCCCACAUGUGAUGACCGAGUGUAUACGCAUGUGAAGCCGCUCCGCGUGUGUGCCAGCGCUGGGCGUGUUCAGUUUCAAAGUAAAUAUAGAACCCUGGUGAUGAA
rnacentral:lncRNA from 1 species